rnacentral:rRNA from 1 species
CGUACACUCCUACGGGAGGCAGCAGUGGGGAAUAUUGGACAAUGGGCGCAAGCCUGAUCCAGCCAUGCCGCGUGAGUGAUGAAGGCCCUAGGGUUGUAAAGCUCUUUCACCGGUGAAGAUAAUGACGGUAACCGGAGAAGAAGCCCCGGCUAACUUCGUGCCAGCAGCCGCGGUAAUACGAAGGGGGCUAGCGUUGUUCGGAUUUACUGGGCGUAAAGCGCACGUAGGCGGACUAUUAAGUCAGGGGUGAAAUCCCGGGGCUCAACCCCGGAACUGCCUUUGAUACUGGUAGUCUUGAGUUCGAGAGAGGUGAGUGGAAUUCCGAGUGUAGAGGUGAAAUUCGUAGAUAUUCGGAGGAACACCAGUGGCGAAGGCGGCUCACUGGCUCGAUACUGACGCUGAGGUGCGAAAGCGUGGGGAGCAAACAGGAUUAGAAACCCGGGUAGUCCCAUG